AAUGAUAUGCCUGAUAAAAAGGGUUAUUUUGAUAGAAUAAAUUAUAUACAUCUUUGUAUUUUCAUUA
rnacentral:tRNA from 1 species